AUUCAUCUCCGGGGGUAGAGCACUGUUUCGGCAAGGGGGUCAUCCCGACUUACCAACCCGAUGCAAACUGCGAAUACCGGAGAAUGUUAUCACGGGAGACACACGGCGGGUGCUAACGUCCGUCGUGAAGAGGGAAACAACCCAGACCGCCAGCUAAGGUCCCAAAGUCAUGGUUAAGUGGGAAACGAUGUGGGAAGGCCCAGACAGCCAGGAUGUUGGCUUAGAAGCAGCCAUCAUUUAAAGAAAGCGUAAUAGCUCACUGGUCGAGUCGGCCUGCGCGGAAGAUGUAACGGGGCUAAACCAUGCACCGAAGCUGCGGCAGCGACGCUUAUGCGUUGUUGGGUAGGGGAGCGUUCUGUAAGCCUGCGAAGGUGUGCUGUGAGGCAUGCUGGAGGUAUCAGAAGUGCGAAUGCUGACAUAAGUAACGAUAAAGCGGGUGAAAAGCCCGCUCGCCGGAAGACCAAGGGUUCCUGUCCAACGUUAAUCGGGGCAGGGUGAGUCGACCCCUAAGGCGAGGCCGAAAGGCGUAGUCGAUGGGAAACAGGUUAAUAUUCCUGUACUUGGUGUUACUGCGAAGGGGGGACGGAGAAGGCUAUGUUGGCCGGGCGACGGUUGUCCCGGUUUAAGCGUGUAGGCUGGUUUUCCAGGCAAAUCCGGAAAAUCAAGGCUGAGGCGUGAUGACGAGGCACUACGGUGCUGAAGCAACAAAUGCCCUGCUUCCAGGAAAAGCCUCUAAGCAUCAGGUAACAUCAAAUCGUACCCCAAACCGACACAGGUGGUCAGGUAGAGAAUACCAAGGCGCUUGAGAGAACUCGGGUGAAGGAACUAGGCAAAAUGGUGCCGUAACUUCGGGAGAAGGCACGCUGAUAUGUAGGUGAAGCGACUUGCUCGUGGAGCUGAAAUCAGUCGAAGAUACCAGCUGGCUGCAACUGUUUAUUAAAAACACAGCACUGUGCAAACACGAAAGUGGACGUAUACGGUGUGACGCCUGCCCGGUGCCGGAAGGUUAAUUGAUGGGGUUAGCGGUAACGCGAAGCUCUUGAUCGAAGCCCCGGUAAACGGCGGCCGUAACUAUAACGGUCCUAAGGUAGCGAAAUUCCUUGUCGGGUAAGUUCCGACCUGCACGAAUGGCGUAAUGAUGGCCAGGCUGUCUCCACCCGAGACUCAGUGAAAUUGAACUCGCUGUGAAGAUGCAGUGUACCCGCGGCAAGACGGAAAGACCCCGUGAACCUUUACUAUAGCUUGACACUGAACAUUGAGCCUUGAUGUGUAGGAUAGGUGGGAGGCUUUGAAGUGUGGACGCCAGUCUGCAUGGAGCCGGCCUUGAAAUACCACCCUUUAAUGUUUGAUGUUCUAACGUUGGCCCGUAAUCCGGGUUGCGGACAGUGUCUGGUGGGUAGUUUGACUGGGGCGGUCUCCUCCUAAAGAGUAACGGAGGAGCACGAAGGUUGGCUAAUCCUGGUCGGACAUCAGGAGGUUAGUGCAAUGGCAUAAGCCAGCUUGACUGCGAGCGUGACGGCGCGAGCAGGUGCGAAAGCAGGUCAUAGUGAUCCGGUGGUUCUGAAUGGAAGGGCCAUCGCUCAACGGAUAAAAGGUACUCCGGGGAUAACAGGCUGAUACCGCCCAAGAGUUCAUAUCGACGGCGGUGUUUGGCACCUCGAUGUCGGCUCAUCACAUCCUGGGGCUGAAGUAGGUCCCAAGGGUAUGGCUGUUCGCCAUUUAAAGUGGUACGCGAGCUGGGUUUAGAACGUCGUGAGACAGUUCGGUCCCUAUCUGCCGUGGGCGCUGGAGAACUGAGGGGGGCUGCUCCUAGUACGAGAGGACCGGAGUGGACGCAUCACUGGUGUUCGGGUUGUCAUGCCAAUGGCACUGCCCGGUAGCUAAAUGCGGAAGAGAUAAGUGCUGAAAGCAUCUAAGCACGAAACUUGCCCCGAGAUGAGUUCUCCCUGACUCCUUGAGAGUCCUGAAGGAACGUUGAAGACGACGACGUUGAUAGGCCGGGUGUGUAAGCGCAGCGAUGCGUUGAGCUAACCGGUACUAAUGAACCGUGAGGCUUAACCUUACAACGCCGAAG
rnacentral:rRNA from 1 species